AGAACGAACGCUGGCGGCAGGCUUAACACAUGCAAGUCGAACGCGACCUUCGGGUCGAGUGGCGCACGGGUGAGUAACGCGUGGGAAUCUGCCCUGUGGUACGGAAUAACGUCGGGAAACUGACGCUAAUACCGUAUAUCCCCUGAGGGGGAAAGAUUUAUCGCCAUAGGAGGAGCCCGCGUAGGAUUAGCUAGUUGGUGAGGUAAAGGCUCACCAAGGCGACGAUCCUUAGCUGGUCUGAGAGGAUGAUCAGCCACACUGGGACUGAGACACGGCCCAGACUCCUACGGGAGGCAGCAGUGGGGAAUAUUGGACAAUGGGGGAAACCCUGAUCCAGCCAUGCCGCGUGAGUGAUGAAGGCCUUCGGGUUGUAAAGCUCUUUCGCACGCGACGAUGAUGACGGUAGCGUGAGAAGAGCCCGGCUAACUCGCGCCAGCAGCCGC
rnacentral:rRNA from 1 species